rnacentral:rRNA from 1 species
GACGAACGCUGGCGGCGUGCUUAACACAUGCAAGUCGAACGGAAAGGCCCUGCUUUUGUGGGGUGCUCGAGUGGCGAACGGGUGAGUAACACGUGAGUAGCCUGCCCUUGACUUUGGGAUAACUUCAGGAAACUGGGGCUAAUACCGGAUAGGAGCUCCUGCUGCAUGGUGGGGGUUGGAAAGUUUCGGCGGUUGGGGAUGGACUCGCGGCUUAUCAGCUUGUUGGUGGGGUAGUGGCUUACCAAGGCUUUGACGGGUAGCCGGCCUGAGAGGGUGACCGGACAGGGGGGGGAGGGGCGCCGGCGCAGGGCGGGAGGGGGGGAGGGGGGGGGGAAGAGGGCAGGCGGGGGGGGAUCCAGAUGCGGAAGCGCCGGGGGCGGGCGGGGGGCUGUGGGUGGGUAACCCACUGGGCACUGCGACGAGGAGGGAGGGAGGGUGAGGGGAAAAGAAGCAGCGGCGAACGACGUGAGAGCAGCCGAGGUAAUAAGGGGAAUAGCACACGUAUGAUC